GACGUAGGUGGCGAGCGUUGUUCGGAAUCACUGGGCAUAAAGCGCGCGUAGGCGGCUAAGUAAGUUGGGUGUGAAAUACCUCGGCUCAACCGAGGAACUGCGCCCGAUACUGCUUGGCUUGGGGGUGCGAGGGGAGAGUGGAAUUCCCGGUGGAGCGGUGAAAUGCGUAGAGAGCGGGAAGAACGCCGGCGGCGAAAGCGACUCUCUGGUGCACUACUGACGCUGAGGCGCGAAAGCUAGGGGAGCAAACGGG
rnacentral:rRNA from 1 species